rnacentral:lncRNA from 1 species
GCAUUUUGUAGAGAAGGUUGGAUUUUUCCAGGUGGGCUAGUCCUGCCUCUCUCCCCUGGCUCACCAAUGAGGAGGAUAUGAGGAUAUGACUAACAUGAGGUUCUGCAGUGCCAUGAAGUGAGGAACAAGAUCCUUCUUGGCAGAUGGGUGGCACAAUCUUUUUUUUUUUUUUUCACUCUUUUGCCCAGGCUGAAGUGCAGUGGUGUGAUCUGUCUGUACAAAAAAAAAAAAAAAAUCCACAAAAAUUAGCCGGGCGUGGUGGUACAUGCCUGUAGUCCAGCUACUCAGGAGGCUGAGGAAGAAGGAUCACUUGAGCCCGGGAGCUUGAGGCUGCAGUGAGCUGAGAUCAUGUCACUCACUGCACUCCAGCCUGGGUGACAGAGUGAGACCUUGUCUUCAAUAAAUAAAUAAAUAAAUAAAAAUAAUAAUAAUAAUAAUAAUGAUGAUCAGGUGACUGAAUCUGUUGGCGGGGUGGUGU